rnacentral:rRNA from 1 species
GAUGACGCUGGUGGCGUGCCUAAUACAUGCAAGUAGAACGCUGAAGCUCGGUGCUUGCACCGAGCGGAUGAGUUGCGAACGGGUGAGUAACGCGUAGGUAACCUGCCUCUUAGCGGGGGAUAACUAUUGGAAACGAUAGCUAAUACCGCAUAAAAGUCGACAUUGCAUGAUGUUGACUUGAAAGGUGCAAUUGCAUCACUAAGAGAUGGACCUGCGUUGUAUUAGCUAGUUGGUGAGGUAACGGCUCACCAAGGCAACGAUACAUAGCCGACCUGAGAGGGUGAUCGGCCACACUGGGACUGAGACACGGCCCAGACUCCUACGGGAGGCAGCAGUAGGGAAUCUUCGGCAAUGGGGGCAACCCUGACCGAGCAACGCCGCGCGGUGAAGAAGGUUUUCGGAUCGUAAAGCUCUGUUGUAAGAGAAGAACGAGUGUGAGAGUGGAAAGUUCACACUGUGACGGUAACUUACCAGAAGGACGCACU